rnacentral:rRNA from 1 species
UAACGUCCGUCGUGAAGAGGGAAACAACCCAGACCGCCAGCUAAGGUCCCAAAGUCAUGGUUAAGUGGGAAACGAUGUGGGAAGGCCCAGACAGCCAGGAUGUUGGCUUAGAAGCAGCCAUCAUUUAAAGAAAGCGUAAUAGCUCACUGGUCGAGUCGGCCUGCGCGGAAGAUGUAACGGGGCUAAACCAUGCACCGAAGCUGCGGCAGCGACGCUUAUGCGUUGUUGGGUAGGGGAGCGUUCUGUAAGCCUGUGAAGGUGUGCUGUGAGGCAUGCUGGAGGUAUCAGAAGUGCGAAUGCUGACAUAAGUAACGAUAAAGCGGGUGAAAAGCCCGCUCGCCGGAAGACCAAGGGUUCCUGUCCAACGUUAAUCGGGGCAGGGUGAGUCGACCCCUAAGGCGAGGCCGAAAGGCGUAGUCGAUGGGAAACAGGUUAAUAUUCCUGUACUUGGUGUUACUGCGAAGGGGGGACGGAGAAGGCUAUGUUGGCCGGGCGACGGUUGUCCCGGUUUAAGCGUGUAGGCUGGUUUUCCAGGCAAAUCCGGAAAAUCAAGGCUGAGGCGUGAUGACGAGGCACUACGGUGCUGAAGCAACAAAUGCCCUGCUUCCAGGAAAAGCCUCUAAGCAUCAGGUAACAUCAAAUCGUACCCCAAACCGACACAGGUGGUCAGGUAGAGAAUACCAAGGCGCUUGAGAGAACUCGGGUGAAGGAACUAGGCAAAAUGGUGCCGUAACUUCGGGAGAAGGCACGC